rnacentral:rRNA from 1 species
GGGGGAUAUUGCACAAUGGAGGAAACUCUGAUGCAGCGACGCCGCGUGAGGGAAGACGGUCUUCGGAUUGUAAACCUCUGUCUUAGGGGAAGAAAAUGACGGUACCCUAAGAGGAAGCUCCGGCUAACUACGUGCCAGCAGCCGCGGUAAUACGUAGGGAGCGAGCGUUGUCCGGAAUUACUGGGUGUAAAGGGAGCGUAGGCGGGGCAGCAAGUUGGAUGUUUAAACUACCGGCUUAACCGGUAGCUGCAUCCAAAACUGCAGUUCUUGAGUGAAGUAGAGGCAGGCGGAAUUCCUAGUGUAGCGGUGAAAUGCGUAGAUAUUAGGAGGAACACCAGUGGCGAAGGCGGCCUGCUGGGCUUUAACUGACGCUGAGGCUCGAAAGCGUGGGGAGCAAAC